GGGGUCGUAGCUCAGCUGGGAGAGCACCUGCCUUGCACGCAGGGGGUCAGGAGUUCGAUCCUCCUCGGCUCCA
rfam:Legionella longbeachae NSW150, complete genome